rnacentral:rRNA from 1 species
UACGUAGGUGGCAAGCGUUGUCCGGAUUUAUUGGGUUUAAAGGGUGCGUAGGCGGCCUUGUAAGUCAGUGCUGAAAUAUCCCGGCUUAACCGGGAGGGUGGCAUUGAUACUGCAGGGCUUGAGUAAAGUUGAGGUUGGCGGAAUUGACGGUGUAGCGGUGAAAUGCUUAGAUAUCGUCAAGAACACCUAUAGCGAAGGCAGCUUACUAGGCUGUAACUGACGCUGAGGCACGAAAGUGUGGGGAUCAAACAGG